UACAGAGGGUGCAAGCGUUAAUCGGAAUUACUGGGCGUAAAGCGUGCGUAGACGGUUGCGUAAGUCAGAUGUGAAAGCCCCGGGCUCAACCUGGGGAUUGCAUUUGAGACUGCGUAGCUAGGGUGCGGAAGAGGGAAGCGGAAUUUCCGGUGUAGCGGUGAAAUGCGUAGAUAUCGGAAGGAGCACCAGUGGCGAAAGCGGCUUCCUGGUCCAGCACCGACGUUCAGGCACGAAAGCGUGGGGAGCAAACAGG
rnacentral:rRNA from 1 species